UAUUUCUUAUGACAAAUGGCAAGGGGAUCUUAUGACAUGUGUCCCGAUGUAUUUUUUUUGUUUUACAUUUUAGGUCAUUCUUUUUUUACACUAUUACAAUUUGGCUUAGUACUGUUUAAUUGUGCACUAUAAUUUUUCUCGCACUAACCAUUAUUAUAUGAAGUUUCAUAAUAUAUUUUAUUGGUCAAUAAAAUUGAAGAUGAAUAAGGAAAAAAUAAAAUAAUACAAAUAGAUUUUUAAUAUUUUAUUUAUUCACAACUAAAACUUACAUAAACUUUUACUAUUUUAUUAUCUACUAUUCAAAAUCAUAAAAUAACUAAACUAAAAAAAAAACAGAGUAAGACACAUAAUCUAAAUUUAAAUCUCCACAAUUACAAAGAAAAAAUAAAAUACUAUAGUAACACUAACUCUGGAACACAAACGAACGCGAUCAAGCACUAACCCAAAACACCAAAAAAAGGAUCAGAGGAAGAAUAAUCACCGGAAGACCAAAGUCACCACGAAGCAGAAAAACAUAUGCAUAAAGCACAACCACCAGCUAAAAAGUAAAACAAAGAGCCCAUGCCAAUGAAGAACCACAAAACUAUGAAUAGAAGAGACCAAAGCACCAAAAGACUAGCUCCACAAACCUAUACUAAGGGAAGCAUGGAAAGAAGAAAAGCAACAUAAGGAAGGAAGAAUCGAAGCCAACCACAGAGAAACCAGAGCUCAAGUUUGAGACAAGAAAUAAUCUUCCAAGCCCACAAAACCUACACGAAAGAAAACACUAUCCAAACCUGGAGUGGCAAACAUGAUGAAACGGCGAGCCACCAGAAACGCUACCAGCGAUGAAAACUGCAACGAGAUGAGAAAACAAAGAAAGAAAAAGAGACUACACAAAAUCAGCAAACUGUGGAGCCAUCCUCGAGCUAUGAAGAGAACAUAAAAGUCAGAUCACCAAAACCCAGAUCUUGAAAACCAAGACGAGCAGGGACUAUCAGCGGCAAGCCAACUACGAGGAAGAAAACUAAACUCUGACCCAACCCAAGGAGAUGUAGUUCCGAACAUUAGCCAAAUCUAAGGAAGAAUAGGAAAAAUAUUGACCAGAACAGCCUACAACAUCAUGAGACACAACCGCACAACUGAAAACUCAUAAACCUGAUCUACAACAAAUAUCAGAUAAUCUCACAAGAGAAGAAGACGAAAUAAACAAGAGCAACAAAGGUGAGUCUUUUUCCAGUGAUGGUAAGAAACACUGCAUACCGGAAAUUUAAAUAAAAUACAUAGAUGGUGACGGCUCAAGUCAAAAUAUGCGGAACAAUUUUUUUAGAAGAAUAAUGUUCAAUGUUGUUAAGAAAAAGAAUAAUGUUCACAAAUAUGAAAAUAUGAAAUACAAUUUUGACGCUGAAACCGUUAAUGUUAGAAUCAACAAAUGCUUAAAUUCAAAGUGAUUGAAAUUCAAUAUACUUUAUAUCAGAAGCUCAAUUCACCAUUAACAAACACUACUAUACACACAACAAUACAUUUUUUAAAAGACGAACACAUAAUAUAUUAACGUAUAACCUAAUACUACAUAACACAAUAAAAUACUAAAUCAUAUUCUUCACAAAUAAAUACUGACCACAUAAUUACAUCAUCCAAAAACAUCAUAUUUAACCAUAAUUAAAUAAUAUUCUGCACGAAGCGUAGAAACCCACCUAGUAUAAAAUACAGUUCUCUCGGUCCUCGGGCUGCCAUGUCAUCAAUUAUUCUCUUCUUGGAGUGUCACAUGUUGUUUUUAAAGUUUGAAAUCUUUGUUUACGUCGGUCUUCUAACUGGGUUUGUAAUGUAUUUGUAACAAUUAGAUUUGCUUGGGCUGGGUUAUUCCUUAUUGGUGGCCCAUGGUCUUAGUUACGCCGUCUGAAGUUAACUUCAGAAUAUGCUUUCGUUCAUCUUCCCGACUAGGACAGUCAGAAACCAUUACAAGAGUUACACAGAAGCGAAGCGUCGUCUUCAGAGCAUUCAUCAUCUAUUGAAUGCAUCCCCAUUUACUUUCUUAUCUCAGAAUUUUCGACUAUAAAAAGGUAAUACAUCCGUUCAAGCUUCUGAUUCAUAAGUUUCUGGAAAACGGCUAACUCCUCUUUGGAUGGUUUCUGGGUUUAGAUCCUUUGUUAGUGGUUUGAUUAUAUGACUGACUUUGAUUGGAAGUUUCGUUAGAUUAGGGUCUGUUGGUUUAUCAAUUUAAUUAAUAUGAAAUGUAAAUUAGCGUUAUUUGUAUCUGGAGAAGAGAUUAUAUAGUUUAGUCGCUUUGUAGGCUGAGCUAGAUACAAACGUGUUUUAGGCAAUUGAAGAAUAUAGAUGAGGAUAGAGUGGUUGAUAACAAUGAAGGUCUACCUCAGGCUUUGUUGGGAAGCUGCAAUGAUCAUGCAAGGAGAUAUAUAUUAAGAUGCCCAUUAAAGAUCCUUCAAUCAAUCCUCCCACUACAUCUCUCUUUUGGAAGGUCCGAAUGUUAAGAGGAGGUGAGAUCAAGGGAUUUAAGCUCAUCAAUGUUGGACAAGAAGCAUUUCCACUCUCCACUGCCACACACCUCACCAGAUCGGACGGCUUGAAUUAGCUUUCAAUGAGUGUCAACCUCCAGAUGAGACACAGAGGAUGCAACUUAGGAGAGAGUUGGGUUUGGCUCCAAGACAGAUCAAGUUUUGGUUUCAGAACCGAAGAAAACAUAAGAAGCAGGCGCAACACGAGAGAGCUGAUAGGAUUUGUUGCGAAAACAUUUCCAUUAGAGAAGCUCUCAAACACACACCAUUUGCCACACCUGUGUUCAUGAAGACUUAAACAGAAGCUUCGAAUCAAAAAAGCUUAGAGAAGAGGUUCUAGCUUUUUCUUUAUGAAACCCUCUUUCCAUCAAGUUGUUCUUCAAUGGCUGCCUCGAGUUUACUGUCUCUACCAAACUUUGUUAUCUCAGACAUGGAUAAGUCUCGGAUGACCAACAAUGCUGUGACCCGCUAUGGAAGAAUAUCUUAGGCUUAGGCCCUGUUCGUUUGCUCACCCAGGUGAUCCAUAUGGGUGAAGAUGCAAAUUGAUGUUCGUUUUGUACAUUAUAAUGCUACAUCCAGAUGUAUUACACAGCUGAAUUUUUAAAAAUUCAUCUCAAAUUUCCACCCAAAUGAAGGUGAGUCUU